ensembl:lncRNA
AAGCAAGUUCUGUAGGGUGAGGAGGAUGCUGGUGGCCAGGCAGAGAGAGGGUGGACAGCAGAGGAUGAGUUCCCGUGAUUAAAGGAACCUCAGCUGCUGCUGUCAUGAUUAACUAAUUUAAAAAUCUAACACAAAUAUAACCCGGCGUUAACACUUAAUUCUGGUGAGAACGUGCGUGGUGUGAUUCUCUGUAUUUUUCUUUUGCUUUUAGGUAUUUCUUAAGAUGUUCUUUCAAAAUUAACUUAGAACAAGGAGCACGCUGGCUUAGUAGUACAACCCAGGGUCUGUAAUUACGGCCACGCUGGCUCUGUCCAUGCACGUCCUGGACGCCUCCACACAGCAGCUGGGGGAGUCCCCUCAUGGUCCCCCGAGGCAGGUAGGGUCACCCACUCUGGAGACAAGGAGGCGGGUGCCUGGCUGGGGCCGGGGCGCAGGUCGGUGCUGGAGCAGGGCUUGCCCCUGGCCGAGGGGCUGCACAGCUCCCGCCUGCCUUCACACCGUCGUGGUUGCCGCACGCUCGACUAUGGUGAAGACACUCUCUGAGAAUAAUUAUUAAAAGGGAAUCUGAGUGCUAACUCCUGUUUCUUUGGUAGCUUAUGUGGACUGAAUUCAGAUGUCCCCUAUGUUAUUUGAGGUAGAAAAUGUCACGUGUUGGUUUGCAAGUUUCUUUAAAACACAUUGUAAAGCUUUACUACGGUUGCCUUUUUCUUUUCCAUAUUUUGCCUUUAUUUGGUGGCUGAAGUGACUUUUGUAUUUCAACGAUGAUGACAAGGUCACCGUGCCGUUGCCGCCGUAUCCAGUCACACUGGCUCAGCCUUCAGCCUAGCACUGCCCCACGCCCGUCCACGCGGGUGCUCCUCCCAGACACCCUGGGGGAGGCUGGUGGCUCCGUGACCCCCCACGGCCCCGAGGCAGAUGACCCUCUCCUGGGUGAAAGCCAUACAUGCAGGCUGAGAAGAGCACAGAACACCUGCCACAAGAUUGGAACUCAUCGAUCAUCCCUUUCUAAGUGUUGCUGUUUCCCUCUUUCUCAGCUUUGACCCUGAGCAGUAAACAAUCGAAUGCCUGAAUUUUUCAUUUAAAAUUUUAAGCAUUUCUUACGACUUUCAGAUUCUCUAAAUGUUCGGGGUUUUUUUUUUUUUUUAAGGAUUUUAUUUAUUUAUUCAUGAGAGACAGAGAGAGAGGAGAGAGAGAGAGAGGCAGAGACCCAGGCAGAGGGAGAAGCAGGCUCCAUGUAGGGAGCCCGAUGUGGGACUCGAUCCCAGAUCGUGGGAUCACACCCUGAGCCGAAGGCAAACGGCCAACCACUGAGCCACCCAGGUGUCCCAGAUUCUCUAAAUGUUAUUUUAGAGAUGCCCUCAAGUUCAAAAAUCCCAGACUCGGCUCAGCCAGAGGAAUGCUGUCACUCCCAGAAUUGCAAGUGGUGCUUACUGUGUGUUGCCUGAAGACUCGUCACUCCAGCAGCAGAAAACCCAAAUCCCCGCCACCCCCCCACCAACGAUGUCUGCUGAGUCAGCAGCUGUCUCUGGGGUGCCAGGGGGGCUCAGCUCGUUGGGCAUCCGACUCUUGGUUUGGGCUCCGGUCACAAUCUUGGGGCCAUGGAAUCGGACCUGGCAUUGGCUUCGCGCUUGGCUGGGAGUCUGCCUGAGAUCCUCUCCCUCUCGCUCCCUCUGCCCCUCCCGUGCUCGUUCCCUCUCUG